GACGAACGCUGGCGGCGUGCUUAACACAUGCAAGUCGAGCGGGGGACUUCGGUCUUCAGCGGCGAACGGGUGAGUAACACGUGGGCAACCUGCCCCGAGCUCUGGGAUAACUUCGGGAAACCGGGGCUAAUACCGGAUAUGACAUUGCCGGGCAUCUGGUGGUGUGGAAAGAUUUAUCGGCUCGGGAUGGGCCCGCGGCCUAUCAGCUUGUUGGUGGGGUGAUGGCCUACCAAGGCGACGACGGGUAGCCGGCCUGAGAGGGCGAUCGGCCACACUGGGACUGAGACACGGCCCAGACUCCUACGGGAGGCAGCAGUGGGGAAUAUUGCGCAAUGGGCGGAAGCCUGACGCAGCGACGCCGCGUGGGGGAUGACGGCC
rnacentral:rRNA from 2 species